UGGGGAAUAUUGGACAAUGGGCGAAAGCCUGAUCCAGCCAUGCCGCGUGUGUGAAGAAGGUCUUCGGAUUGUAAAGCACUUUAAGUUGGGAGGAAGGGCAGUAACCUAAUACGUUUCUGUCUUGACGUUACCGACAGAAUAAGCACCGGCUAACUCUGUGCCAGCAGCCGCGGUAAUACAGAGGGUGCAAGCGUUAAUCGGAAUUACUGGGCGUAAAGCGCGCGUAGGUGGUUUGUUAAGUUGGAUGUGAAAUCCCCGGGCUCAACCUGGGAACUGCAUUCAAAACUGACAAGCUAGAGUAUGGUAGAGGGUGGUGGAAUUUCCUGUGUAGCGGUGAAAUGCGUAGAUAUAGGAAGGAACACCAGUGGCGAAGGCGACCACCUGGACUGAUACUGACACUGAGGUGCGAAAAGCGUGGGGAGCAAACAGGAUUAGAUACCCGAGUAGUCCCUGAGCGGGCUGGCAAGGCGCAU
rnacentral:rRNA from 1 species